rnacentral:misc_RNA from 1 species
GAUGAAGAACGUAGCGAAAUGCGAUAGGUAAUGUGAAUUGCAGAAUUCAGUGAAUCAUCGAGUCUUUGAACGCACAUUGCGCCCCCUGGUAUUCCGGGGGGCAUGCCUGUCCGAGCGUCAUUGCUGCCCUCAAGCACGGCUUGUGUGUUGGGCCUCCGUCCUCCUCCCGGGGGACGGGCCCGAAAGGCAGCGGCGGCACCGCGUCCGGUCCUCGAGCGUAUGGGGCUUCGUCACCCGCUCUUGUAGGCCCGGCCGGCGCUUGCCGACACAUCAAUCUUUUCUCCAGGUUGACCUCGUAUCAGGUAGGGAUACCCGCUGAACUUAAGCAUAUCAAUAAGCGGAGGA